GCUCUGUCUUUCCAUUCGUCUGGAGCGCGUGCUCUUAUUUCUCUGCCUAGUUUGUCUCUUCCUAGAACAAAGUUAUUGAGAAAGGCAGAGAGAGGAGGCCUCUCUUUUUCCCAGGAGAUCCCUGAGAGCAGGAGCUGGGGCUCCCUGCUCAGACUGGGGGCUCCCUGAAGGCAGAGGCUGUGUCUCAUCCCUGAGAUGGGGAGACUCCCUGAGUGCAGAGCGGGGGCUGCUCCCUUUCCUGGCUCUGCUUCUCCAGUUACUUUCCUGCCCGCCAGGGCCAGCCUGAGAUGACAAGGAAGUUACAAGUUACAGUUACAGUCAUGGACUGGGAGAUUGGAUCAGGGAGGGGCUACCUCACCCUGCUGGCCCAGCCUGGCCCCAUCCGUGAGAAAGUCCCUCCAGCUUCCCCUCCCACCCCAGGCCCUCUUGGACUCCUCUUUCGUUACCUGGGCCUUUGUUACUCAGCAGUGCGUUUGGGAGAAAAGGCACAGCAGCUCUCACCUCCUGCCUGUGCCCCCAAAAUUCUGUGAGAUCUUUGUGGGCAGAGAGGCUUCUCUUCUCUGAAGUCCAAGCUUCUCAGAGCCCAACCACAGGAGAGGCCGAAACAUGGUUCCAGUCCUGCCACAGUUGGAACAAGGGGGCCCAGAGAAGGUGGAAGGGCAAGCCUUCCAUCCAUUGAGGAAGUAUUUUCUGAGCUCCUACUCUCUGCCAAGCACAUCCACUCCCGCUCCUCCCACCAAGUUCUGGAGCCAGGACGGGACCUCCAGAGCAAGCACUGUGGGACGGGUGUCCAGAAGAACCCACUUCUACCACCGCCAGCCUCUGCUGCCCGCAGGCUGCCUGUGUCUCAGCCCCAGCCCCCGUCCUCACAGCUGCAAAUAAAGGCUCAAUCUUUCAUCAAAACUUUCCUGCAAUUGUCCUUCUGUCAUCACAGCCCCUGAUGCAGAAACCAACCAAGGAGCUGUAGAAACACAGAGGCAGAAAGGUGAGGUCAUCCCGUCUAGCACCCAGUCUCAGGGCAAGAACGCGUUCCACAGCCCAGCUGAGUCUCAGAGAGAGUCCACCCUCCCACAGCCUUCUUUGGCUCACUUCUCCCCAGGGUUUGCCCACAUUCCUCCAGGGAAGUCCUUCCUGGAGGCUAACUUAAGUGCCUCCUGCUGUCGCUUUAACUUCUCAAGGGGAUGAAACCCAGAAGAUAGGCUUAUUUUCUCAAGGGGCUCAGGGACUGGGGUGGGGAGUGCUGUGGGCGCACAAGUGGGAAAACUUUCUCCACCUCUCUCAGCUUUCUUUUCUUUCUCUUCUCCACACCUCAUUCUUUCCCUUUCCCUCCUCUCUCUUUAGUCGUCUCCCACUCAACUCAGCUGCUGGCUGGGAGCCAGCAUUGUUCCUGCCUGGCUCCCCUCUCCCCUCCUCCUUCCCUCUCUGCGCCCCCCUCCAGCCAGCCCAGUCCCUGGCAUGCGGUAGCCCCAGCUGGGGGGCAGGGCAGCACGCAAGACCUUUCCUGCCCCGUCUUCUGCCUCCUCCUCACUCUUCCCUUCCAGUCCCCAUUGAUGGCCCCCACCCAGCAUAGGAGGCUGGGGAGCUUGGGUUACCCAGGCCCCUGGUUAUUUUUAUUGCCACCAGCUCAGGAGAUAAAUAUACCUCCCCUCCCCGCAGCUGUCCUGGACGGAGUAACACAUCCCUUCCCAAUUCACUCCCUCUCCUACCGUUCAUCCACUCACCUCAACGUCGAGUUGACUCACCCGAACGUCUUCUGCUCACAUUCUCUCCUAGUCAGUCCCUCUGGACCCUGGACUCCCUGCAGAAAGACAGCUUGACCCCCAAGCUCAGAAAUGGGACGGGAGGAGAGCCUCGGUGUCUUGGCUCCACCUAGUGGCUUCUCGAGACACCACACCUAGCGAAGGGGUCUAGCGGGAGCCUCGCCUUGAUGCCACCCGGCUGGGGCAGGACUUCACAACACUGCGGGGAGGAGGCGCCGCGCAGAAGUUGCUUCUGCUAGUGGUUGAGCCUCCAGGCUGAGCCUGGGCCCUGAGACCCCUCUCCCACUUGGCCAGGCGAGGGGCUGGUGGUCUACAGCCCACUGCCUCUUCCUCCUUGUGAUUCCAAACCGUUCUGUUAGAUCCCACAAUCCAGGGAGGUUCUUGGAAUUCAUUUGCGGGUCUCUGGAAAUAGUUAAGGGCAGAAACUGAAGCUCCCCAGAGAGGACAGAAGGGGAACCCAGGGAUCAAGAUGGACUGCUGUUCAUUCCCAGCUUGUUAGAGUUCCUGGGAUUCAAGAAGCCACCAGUCCUCUAGAACAGAUCUCAAAAUGAAUCCCCCAAGAGUGGUUAUCUGGUCUGUGUUUGAACACCCAGGAACAGGGUCCUCACUCCCUCUGGUGGCAGUUCGUUCCAGGACAGAGACAAGUAUUGUGACUGGCUCGUUUGGGCUGAAAUU
rnacentral:lncRNA from 10 species